CGCCUCGGCCGCGCGGGCCGCCUCCCUCAGCGGCAGCGAGCCCCGGCCGCCCGCCCCUUUCCCUCAGCACAGGGCCCAGCCCGCCAUUGCCGCCCCCGAGGCCGCUUUCCCGCAAUAUCCCCUCAGGGAGAGCCCCGGGCCGCCAUCACCCACCCCGAAGGCCACUGGAAAAGCCGCAGCCCGUCAUCGCCCUGGAGGCUGCUUUCCCUCACCCCGCUGCCUUUUAGUUACCAGAGGAGAGCUCCUUCAGAAGCAAGAGCAGGACCAUCCAGCCUCCUCCCACACACCCACCGUAAGCAGUCUGCAAGAAGCCAGGGCAGCUACAGAAGUAGCUGGAGACCUGCAGCAGGCAGGCUGCAAACACGGCUGGAGGGAUCAGCCUGCAAUCACAGAGGAAAGCUUGGGACGCCGAGGUUCCACUGCCAGCCCGGUGGCCCACACCUAACCCACGUACCUGCUCCAUGGUGUACCUAAAGUAAGCACAGUUGUUCCAGGCCAAAGCCAUCUCUACGGGACAGAACACACCAGGUUUGGAAAGUGCAAGGUGUGCACUGAAACAAGCCAACCACCCACAAGGAAAACCGACGGACUGAGCAGUGCUCUGCCUGAGGAUCUCGGUGCGAAGGGGACAACUGCAAGGAUAACUUCUUUCUCCCACCCACCCAGGAUUUUCACUAUACCAGUGAGUAAACAUCCAAAUAUCUUGUCCACUGCAUCUACAAAAAUUAACUUUCCUAACUGCUAUAUGCAUUUACUUUUAUAGAAGGUAUUUUACUUCUGAAUGGUCCUCCAAAGGGCCUGUCCAAGCAAUUUAUUAACAUGAAAUUUUAAUAUUCCUUUACAAAACUAACCCAGACUGGUUUAGGAAACUGAAAAGUAAAUCAGACCAAUCUAGUCUUACUGUUCAAAUUAUGUGAAAUGCAAGAAGCCGAUUAAAUUAACCACAAAACCAGAUGCAUGUACAUUUAAUACUCUACAGCUGCUUUACUGUCAUCAUCUUUGGAAAUGAGUCUAAAUGCACAACUGGCCUCCUUACAUUUGCUUUUUGGUAAAAAAUACUCUUUUCCAAAUUCCAAGUAAUUGGGC